rnacentral:rRNA from 1 species
UACAGGAGGGUGCUAGCGUUGUUCGGAAUCAUUGGGCGUAAAGGGCGUGUAGGCGGUUUGUUAAGUCAUGUGUGAAAUCCCUCGGCUCAACCGGGGAACGACGCAUGAAACUGGCAAGCUAGAGUACCAAAGAGGGGGUGGAAUUCCCGGUGUAGCGGUGAAAUGCGUAGAUAUCUGGAGGAAUACCGGUGGCGAAGGCGGCAUCCUGGACCGGCAUUGACGCUGAGGAGCGAAAGCUAGGGGAGCAAACGGG